rnacentral:tRNA from 1 species
GGAGCUUUCGCCUAGUCUGGUCGAUGGCAACCAGCUCAUAACUGGUCAUCCAACAUCGUUGGUUCGAAUCCAACAAGCUCCA